UACGUAGGGGGCAAGCGUUGUCCGGAAUCAUUGGGCGUAAAGCGCGUGUAGGCGGCUCGGUAAGUCCGCUCUGAAAGUCCAGGGCUCAACCCUGGGAUGCGGGUGGAUACUGCCGGGCUCGAGUCCGGAAGAGGCGAGUGGAAUUCCCGGUGUAGCGGUGAAAUGCGCAGAUAUCGGGAGGAACACCUAUGGCGAAGGCAGCUCGCUGGGACGUUACUGACGCUGAGACGCGAAAGCGUGGGGAGCGAACAGG
rnacentral:rRNA from 1 species